UACGGAAGGUGCAAGCGUUAAUCGGAAUUACUGGGCGUAAAGCGUGCGCAGGCGGUUUGUUAAGUCUGUUGUGAAAUCCCCGAGCUCAACUUGGGAAUUGCAAUGGAUACUGGCAGGCUGGAGUAUGGUAGAGGAAGGUGGAAUUCCCGGUGUAGCAGUGAAAUGCGUAGAGAUCGGGAGGAACACCAGUGGCGAAGGCGGCCUUCUGGACCAAUACUGACGCUCAUGCACGAAAGCGUGGGGAGCAAACAGG
rnacentral:rRNA from 1 species